UCCAAGACCAUGGAAUAGUGAGCGCUACU
rnacentral:piRNA from 1 species